AUACGUAGGGGGCAAGCGUUAUCCGGAUUUACUGGGUGUAAAGGGAGCGUAGACGGCAAAGCAAGUCUGAAGUGAAAGCCCCGGGCUCAACCCGGGAAUUGCUUUGGAAACUAUUUAGCUGGAGUGCAGGAGAGGUAAGCGGAAUUCCUAGUGUAGCGGUGAAAUGCGUAGAUAUUAGGAGGAACACCGGCGGCGAAGGCGGCUUACUGGACUGUAACUGACGUUGAGGCUCGAAAGCGUGGGGAGCAAACAGGAUUAGAUACCCUGGUAGUCCACGCCGUAAACGAUGAUUACUAGGUGUUGGUUGUCAUAGACAAUCGGUGCCGCAGCAAACGCAAUAAGUAAUCCACCUGGGGAGUACGUUCGCAAGAAUGAAACUCAAAGGAAUUGACGGGG
rnacentral:rRNA from 1 species